rnacentral:lncRNA from 1 species
AGGUGCGCUUUGCUUCCUAACCCGUUGCCGGGUUGGAGAUUCCACCUCCGAAGUUUUCUUUCUGACUUUUGAUUUUACAUUCCUAGUACAGUGGAGAAGCCCAGGCGGCCUAGAAUCCAGUGUCGUCCGUGAGUGCUUGGCUGGUGUUCAAGUGCAUCUUCCAGCCUGAGACCGCGUGGACUCGCUCAUCGUGAGGGCGAGAGGAGGAUAAGCCCAUUGGGCUGUCGGCUGAGAGUGAGGUGCGGGAUUGCUGAUGAAAUCCUUGGCAUCGUCGGAGAUCUCAUCGAAUGCCUCGUCGUCGAAGUCCCAGGUGGCUGAGGUAACGUUGGCCAAGGUUUCGUUAUCGUUGUCUCCCAUGAAGGGGGAAAGGCCACUGACUCUGGAGAGACAAGAGCAGGACAGCAGGUGUGGCUAGGAGAGGGCGCGACGACCAGAUGAGGGAAUUGAGGCACAGCCCAGGCUCAAGUCACCUGCCCAAAGAUUCACAGCCAGUGAGAUUGGAAGCCAGGUAUCUGCCUCUAGAGCCUGUCCUCUUAAAUGCUAUACUAUCCUAACAUUUCUGUAAAGAUGAAGUAAAUUGCAGUGUUCAGCACUGGCACCAGGCCUGGUCCACAGUAAGGAGGCGGUCCAUGCCCGGAGAUCUCAUGCAGUUCUGCUGGGUUCCCUCCACUGCCUUACCAAGCUGUGAGUGCAGGAAUGACUUUGUGACCAGCAGCUUAAGCCAAAUAAACUUUAUAAGGUAAAGAAUUUCAAAACAAAA